AACCUGGGAACUGCAUUCGAAACUGGCAGGCUUGAGUCUUGUAGAGGGGGGUAGAAUUCCAGGUGUAGCGGUGAAAUGCGUAGAGAUCUGGAGGAAUACCGGUGGCGAAGGCGGCCCCCUGGACAAAGACUGACGCUCAGGUGCGAAAGCGUGGGGAGCAAACAGGAUUAGAUACCCUGGUAGUCCACGCCGUAAACGAUGUCUACUUGGAGGUUGUGCCCUUGAGGCGUGGCUUCCGGAGCUAACGCGUUAAGUAGACCGCCUGGGGAGUACGGCCGCAAGGUUAAAACUCAAAUGAAUUGACGGGGGCCCGCACAAGCGGUGGAGCAUGUGGUUUAAUUCGAUGCAACGCGAAGAACCUUACCUGGUCUUGACAUCCACAGAAGAAUCCAGAGAUGGAUUUGUGCCU
rnacentral:rRNA from 4 species